rnacentral:rRNA from 1 species
GAUGAACGCUGGCGGCGUGCCUAAUACAUGCAAGUCGAGCGAACAGAUGAGGAGCUUGCUCCUCUGACGUUAGCGGCGGACGGGUGAGUAACACGUGGAUAACCUACCUAUAAGACUGAGAUAACUUCGGGAAACCGGAGCUAAUACCGGAUAAUAUAUUGAACCGCAUGGUUCAAUAGUGAAAGACGGUUUUGCUGUCACUUAUAGAUGGAUCCGCGCCGCAUUAGCUAGUUGGUAAGGUAACGGCUUACCAAGGCAACGAUGCGUAGCCGACCUGAGAGGGUGAUCGGCCACACUGGAACUGAGACACGGUCCAGACCCCUACGGGAGGCAGCAGUAGGGAAUCUUCCGCAAUGGGCGAAAGCCUGACGGAGCAACGCCGCGUGAGUGAUGAAGGUCUUCGGAUCGUAAAACUCUGUUAUUAGGGAAGAACAAAUGUGUAAGUAACUAUGCACGUCUUGACGGUACCUAAUCAGAAAGCCACGGCUAACUACGUG